rnacentral:rRNA from 1 species
AGUUACACUCCCAAACCCCUGUGAACAUACCAUAUCGUUGCCUCGGCGGUGCCCGUUUCGGCGGCCCGCCAGAGGACCCAAACCCUGUAUUAAAGUAUUCUUCUGAGUAAAUGAUUAAAUCAAUCAAAACUUUCAACAACGGAUCUCUUGGCUCUGGCAUCGAUGAAGAACGCAGCGAAAUGCGAUAAGUAAUGUGAAUUGCAGAAUUCAGUGAAUCAUCGAAUCUUUGAACGCACAUUGCGCCCGCCAGUAUUCUGGCGGGCAUGCCUGUCCGAGCGUCAUUUCAACCCUCAAGCCCCCGGGCUUGGUGUUGGAGACCGGCGAGCCCUCCGGGGCACGCCGCCUCCCAAAUUUAGUGGCGGUCUCGCUGUAGCUUCCUCUGCGUAGUAGCACACCUCGCACUGGGAAACAGCGUGGCCACGCCGUAAAACCCCCCACUUCUGAAAGGUUGACCUCGGAUCAGGUAGGAAUACCCGCUGAACUUAAGCAUAUCAAUAAGCGGAGGAA